rnacentral:miRNA from 1 species
GAAAAUUAGAAGACAAAGAAAUCCUUUGUUUUCAACUAAAUUUCCCCGGAAAAUUUAGUUGAAAACAAAGGAUUUCUUUGUCUUCUAAUUU